GCGUUGAUAGUACAAUGGCCAGUAUUUCUGCUUUCCACGCAGAAGAUAGGGGUUCGAUUCCCCUUCAACGCA